UUUUCAAAGUUAUGAGGGUGUUGUUUUCAAUAAGUAUACAUGAUAUGUCGAAAAGUGUUUGUGGCGCAUUACUAUAUGCGGAUGGAUAAACCGUUGAUAGUACAACCAUGCUGUGAUGCGUCCCCAAUCUAAGCGUGUCGUGUGUUUGGCGUGUGUAGCAAACGCAGCUGACAGGAGUAGGCCCCACCUUUUAGGUAAUGGGCGUUGUCCCCUUUUGAUGCGUCGGCCCCAAGCAUUUUGACGUCACUGUUGGGCAAAACAAUGAAGUCCAGCGACGACCAGGGCAGCUGUUUAAAAUUCGGAUCUCAAGAUUACAGAUUUUGGAGUAGGCGGAUCAUAGAAGUUCGGGGUGUUUUGGUUGCUGUGCAUUUGCAUCAAGCACGUGUUUCCUGUUAAGAAUUGUAGACAGAAGAGCAGGCGAAGCGAUCGUUUUCGACCUUCUAUGCAUAAAGGGCUGUGCAACACGUUUGCCAUUUCCCCUGAAUGUAAAGAUCACUGACAGCAAAGAAGACCGUGUCCUCAAUGGUGUUCAGGGUACCAGCUGUGAUGAACAAGGGGGAUGUCCGUGAGGUUGUGAUGCUGUGCGAGGAAUGCCACUCCAAGAUGCUGGCUGUUGGAGAGUUGUUGCUUAUAUCUUGUGAAGCUCGCCCCGUUUUCACUAACACUGAGGACAUGGAACUCACAACCUCAACUUUUACACAUUAUCGUGACAAAGUCAUUGAUAAGCUUAACCAUAUUCUUAUCACUUCCAGAGACAUAUCCUCACAGGUUCACUCAGGGAUUGUGCAGUGGAAGCCAUUUUGCAUCAGACUUCAAGAAAUGUCUGCCCUUGUAGUAAGUCUUACUGAGCUGAGCGCUCAUAUAGGUUAUCUUAUCGCUGUCAGCUUUCAUAAUUCCUGUGCUUCUGAACUUGGAGUGGUGAAUAAGUACAAGCUUCACCAAGCCAAGCUUGACUUGAAGUUUUGUUGUUCACGCCUAAAGCGAUCUUGUGUAGAUGACCUUGAACCUCACCUUCUGGUUGACCUCUGCUCCACCAUCUCCAGGGCAUUAUCAACCAUUACAGAAGUGUGCAAAUAUGCAAGUGAAAAUGCAAAAGAUCCAGAAAACCAGAAUCAGUUCAAGCUUUGUGUCAAAAGCAUCACAUCCACCACCAGCUGCUUGAUCUCCAGUGUCAAGUGCUUUAAAUCCAACCCUGGAGUUGGUCACUUGAGACGCAUCAUUGCAUUUUGUGAACCUGUGAUAGCAACAAGCAGUGCACUUGUUACCUUUGCUUCAGAGGAAGAGUUUGUAGGGUCACCAGCUGUCCUUGGAGAGAGUGCUGCAGAAACCCACAAGUCUGUACUUGGAGUGACCAUGAGCAUAGUAUCUGCCAGUGUCCAGAUGUGCAAAGCCAUUCGAGAUCUUGUCUAUGAUGUCAAUAAUUCUCGACAUCGUGAGCGGGUUCGUUUGUGUGUGGAUUCUAUUGAUAAAGCCUCAUCUAAACUCAGGGACUUUCUCCUGUCACACGAGUUCAAGCAAAAUUCAUCAGCCCCCUCAGUUACUCAAGUUCAAACAUCAGAAGCACUAACCCAAUCUGCACUGCCCCUUGGAUCGGUUACUGACGUUCAUAAGGCACAGUGCAAUUGAUGCCAGCUUGGAUGUAGCUUUUUAAGGGUGUUUUUACCCUGCAUGUGGGUGUGUAGAUGGACAGCAUAAACCAUCUGUUCACAGUUAAUUUACCAGUAUUGUCACAUACAGCCAUGUCCUGACUUCAACAUUCAGAUUAAACUCUGAAUUUUACAUUAAUUAUUGUGGACAUUUCCUUUUAAGGCUGGAUAAAAUGUGAAAAUUCCAACUUUUAUCAAAGACAUGCAUGUGCACUGCACUCCUCAUACCUGUACCUGCAGAUGAUGCCAUAAAUGCAUGUUUGAAAGAGAAAUAUUCAUUCUUGCAGGUAUGUUUUUGUUUUAAAUAAAAAGGGCCUUUGUAACUGAAGUAUGUUUAGGUUUAAAGCAGAGCAUUCUAAUUGUUCUGGUUUAAGCAUUUGUUAUAUAGCCUCAUAAAUAUUUUAUUAUAUGGGUGCUAUACUUGGUAUUUGUAGGCUGUAGUUUCAGCUGGAAACCAUUCCCUAUAAUUACCAGAUGCUUUUUCAGUCCUAUGUUUUUUUUCCUUGGGCUGUGUGUUAGUCAUAACUGAAUGUUUUUAGUGUGCAUGAGGAAAGGGAAUAUUUUUUUUGGUAUAAGUGUGUUGAGGGGCAUUUAUUGGGUUAAGAUGUGGCAGGAAAUUUCUUUAGGAAUACAUGUAUACUUUGAAUUAUUUGCCAUAGUAUUUAAAUAGAAAGUACAGCAUUUACAAUACUGUAGUUUCUGUAAUACUGUUAUUGUCCUCAAGGUAAGGAUGCAUUCAGAAUUACAGCAGACAUUAGUUUUGACCUUAACCAAAGACAUUUCUAAAAAUUUAGGCAUAAAAAAAAAUUUAUGAGUAUUUUUGACCUGCUGAAAAGAAGUGAUUUUAAUUUUUGUGUGUGCAAAGCAUAGCCUGAGCAGUAUCAUAUAAUAUUAAUCUUAUGGGCAUGUCCUGUCAUGGAGUCUUAUGUCUGUAUCAUACAUAUAUCAGCUGGUAUCUGAAAUUGAUCUUUUGUUCAAAAGAUCUGAAACCCAAUUUUCAUGGAUGUAAAAGCCUAUUUACCAUUAUUGUUUGUGGUAAAUCAAUAUGCUGCCAGCACUUUUCAGAACACUAUAGGGAUUUUUAUGAAUGCUAUAAAAACUUGCUAAACCACAAGUUUUCUAGCUAUCAGCUAUUGAUUUUGGAUUAUGUCUGUGUAUGUUGUUAGCAUUUCAAAUACCCAAUUUUAAUUAUUAAAUGCUCAAUGAUAAUAUUAGUAGUAGACUGUUCAGUGGUAUUAGCCAGUAAAGCUUUUUUUAAAAAGCUGUUGCAAAUUUAUAGGUGAACCUAUAUAUAUUGCACACAGCUUUGAAUAGUAAUUUAUGCAGAAGGAGUUAAGCAUGAGAAAAAAGCUGUGGAAAAGAAAUUUAUUGUAAUAAACUGCAGCAUAUGAUCUUAAAAUAAAUUUUUGGAUUUCCAUGUGAACAGUUUUGUUUCUUUUUUUGUACAGAAAGUCUAUGAUUUCUGUUAGUGCUUUUUAUGUUGUAUAGCAGUUGUAUUUAUGGCAGUAGUUUGAUAUAUUUUAAAAUUCCCUUAGGAAGCUAAACUCUCUUUUUUUGUGACCAGCACAUUUCAGACAGAAUCUUGCCUUGUUAUGAAUCAGAUUAUUUUAGUUGAAGGUCAUUUUUGCAUUAUUUCAGGUACAAAAGUUUUUGUAUAGGCAUUGGAUCAACAUAUUUUAUUAUAACCUGUUCAUCCCAGCAUUAUAAGUAAGAAGGGUGUAUCAUGAAUUGGGAUUUUUUUUCCACCAGAUGCCAAUGAGUGGAUGACAUUCUUGUAUAUGCACAUCUAUUCUGCAUUCCUCCUGGGAAUUCAGUUCAUGUUCAUACAUCUUUUAUACUAUUUGUCUCCCUUACCAGUCUGAAAAUGAUAAAAUCUCUUCAUACUUCAGCUUGUCAGUCCAGCUGAUACCACGAGCUGGGAAGUGACCUCCAGUCUGUAUGAUGAUCUUUACCUUCUUCUGCCUUGAUCUUGUUUCUCCUGGCUGUGUAUGCAUCAAAAGCUGGUCUGCUGAUAACAAGUAUAACACUUCCAGACUGUUCUUUCUUCACAUUUUUUCUGACUAUAUAAAUGUUUUGGCUAGCUUUACAGCGCUAGCAUCAGUCCUUGUAAGCCUAAUGUUGAGUGUCUUGAUAACAGUUUGUACUUUCAGAGGGACUGUGAAGGUAAUAUCUUUUUUCCUGUGAAAGUUCUGUCUCCAUUUGUAUUCUAUUGUUGUAGGAGGUGGAGGAAGACAUACAUCUUCUCUUUAAGUUCCAGUUUUGGCAUGCUGCAGUUAGACUAUAAUUACACUCAUUUUUUUGGAAUUUGUGGUAUUGUGUAAAACAUAUUGAUGGUAGCGACUGAAUGACAUUUCAAGAACUGUAGGAACAUGUUUUGUGCAGUCUUGAAAUUCUCAUACCUUGCUUAUUGACCAGUUUAUGAAAGACAUUUAAAUGGGGAAAGCUGAUAGACAUGUAAUGAUAAAGAAACCCUGCCAUUAUUUAGUUGUUUCUUAUGUUUUUGACACUGGAUCCUGUAACCUUUUACAGACUUUUGACUAUCUUUACGUUUCCCCAAGCUGAUUUUUGAUUUGAUAAUUAGCAGAAAGAAAAACACAUAGACAAAUAGAGUUUUUCAUCCUGAUUUUAAUGAUACCAAUCUUUUUUUCUAUGGUCAAAUAGUUUCCAGAUUAUAAUAAUUUUUGAAUAAUUUUCUUCUUAAAACUAAAAAUGAAUAAAAUGCUUAUUUUGAAAUGCAAGUGCACUAACAAUUAAGCACUAAACACUUAAAAUCAUCCUCUGGUAGCACUACCUAAUCAAUAAGCUUAAUAAUGUACUACAUUAUUAAGAAACACAUAUGCUUACUGUUAUGUUAAAUACAUAUAAUGCAGUUAAUGCCAGAAAACAUACUUCGUGCUUUUUUUUUCUUUUUGUGAUUGGUUCACUUUUUGCAAUGCAUCACUAUUAUCUACUUCUGUUUGCAUUAUUGGGAGCUCCCAUAAGUAAUAAACCAAACACACCGAUAGUUACACUCACAUUUAACAUGCACACAAAUGAAGGGUUCCAAUUAUUAGGACUGCAUUAGGACCCCUUCUAUCUCCCUUCUCUGAAUUUUCAUUACAAGAUGGUUACAUUUAAUGAAAGUGAAACCAUGGGUUUAUAGAUUUAAAUUAUUUGUAAAGAACAAAAUAAUGUGUCACAGAAAAAGUUGUCUUGCUGCAUAAAAUGAGUGCGUUGAUAUCAUUUUUUCAACUUUGCUUAAUAUUGGAGCGUUUAAGGUGAAGGUAAUUAAAUCGGUGUUUUUGUUUAUUAUUACUCCUCAAGGAGCAUAGGGCCACAACACCUCGCUAGAAGACCCAGUUUUGGGCAGCCCCACUCAGUGGGCCCAGAGUAGUUCCAAUGUCUUUAAAUGCUUUGUUUUGUAAAAUGCAAGGGGUGAAAUGAAAAAUGAAACAGAAAUAACAUGAUAUCAAAUCCUUUAAAGAGAGCAUUAUCAUCAUAAUUAAAUAAGCACUUUUUGAAACCAAUACUUAUUUUUGGCAUUAGAUACGCUUUCAGAAUUAGAGUGACAGUUACAAAUUCACUGUGUGUCACCACCGCCGUUCAGAGUUUGAACUAUUUUGAAAAAAUUGUAAUGCUGAUCCUGUUUAUUUCGUUAGUCUCUUCUAUCUAUUGAAAGGUGUAUGAAUCCUUCAGUAUUGUUUACAUUUUGUUACUUAACCAUAAAGAAUGUUACAUGUAACUAAAAUUAAGUGUUUACAGAUUAGUUUUACUUUUAACUUUACAAAUUUUCAUUAAAAUGCUUUUUGUUGUCAAAGCUUUUGUCAGAAACAGCUAUAAUCAGUGGCGUAAAGACAUUUUUUAAUGAUUCAUCAUUAUAUAUUAAAAGCAUAGCUACAUGCUCAUGCAAAAGGUUUUGUGUGUGUGUGCUUACAAAAUUACACUGGAAAGUGCAGAAUUUUGUUACAGGAUCCAGAUUAACAUUACAUUGUGCUUAUUGAGUUGUACUGUUUUGAAUUUAGGCGGAGUGACCUGUGUUAAGAAAGCAAUUGCUGCUGUUUCCCCUCCAUAUUACAGAAUUGACUGGUGUUGUUAGAAUACAUCAGAAUAAUGUUAAGUUAGAAGUAUUUGCUAGUACUGUUACACAAUGUUGCAUUUUAACUUGGUUUCCAUAGUUCUUUUUCAUACUACUGUUACUCCUCCAGAGAAUUUUUUUUUUUUAUUCAACACAUCUCACUGACUCUUAACACACAUCCAUCGUGCACAGAGCUACACUAUGCUAUGUUUUGAUGACAGUACUUGUCAUUAGCUCACACUAGUCACAUGGGAUACAUUUAAGCAAUAAAAGCUCACUCUUUGCGUUUCUCGCUCUCACAUAUGCCCCACGUCUAUGCUUGUAUGCACACAGAAAAAGGAUUUUUUUUAUAUUAUUGUAAAGGGUCUGGAUUUUAUAGUACAUCUUUCCCUUUUCUGUCGUUAACUUUUCAAGUUAUUUGUUAUUAUUUAGGAAUAUUUUAGGAUCGGUUUUAACUCGACAGUGUUGUGUGUGUAAACACCUGUUCCAGAAUGUUUUCCUGGAUAUGUACAAAAUCGCUCAUUCAAAUACUUAAAUCGUUUUUCAUCUUUGUACAUAUCUAGUUCACACUGAUGCCCAGGUAAAGCAACGAUAACUGAUAUUACAGAUGCUGAUGAGAAAGAAUGGAAACAUGAUUUUAAAAAAUACAGUGCAAUGCAGCAUGUUUUGUGACUUGUUCUUGCCCGCGUGAGCAUCUGAAAGUUGAAUCUCUUGUGACACACACACACACGGCUUGGAGUCUGCGAAGCUGGUGCCCGCAACGUAACCAUGAGACUUUUUUUUUUUUUACAAACGCAUUGGGUUUGUUAUAGUUGAUCUUCUGUCAAAGGACAUCAAGACAAAAA
rnacentral:misc_RNA from 1 species